rnacentral:rRNA from 1 species
CCUACGGGAGGCAGCAGUGGGGAAUAUUGGGCAAUGGGCGCAAGCCUGACCCAGCAACGCCGCGUGAAGGAAGAAGGCUUUCGGGUUGUAAACUUCUUUUCUCAGGGACGAAGAAAGUGACGGUACCUGAGGAAUAAGCCACGGCUAACUACGUGCCAGCAGCCGCGGUAAUACGUAGGUGGCAAGCGUUAUCCGGAUUUAUUGGGUGUAAAGGGCGUGUAGGCGGGAGCGCAAGUCAGAUGUGAAAACUCAGGGCUCAACCCUGGGCCUGCAUUUGAAACUGUGUUUCUUGAGUGCUGGAGAGGGAAUCGGAAUGCAGGGUGUAGCGGUGAAAUGCGUAGAGAUACGGAGGAACACCAGUGGCGAAGGCGGAUUGCUGGACAGUGACUGACGCUGAGGCGCGAAAGCGUGGGGAGCAAACAGGAUUAGAUACCCGUGUAGUC